GACGAACGCUGGCGGCGUGCCUAUACAUGCAAGUCGAGCGGACCAAACAGGAGCUUGCUCUUGUUUGGUUAGCGGCGGACGGGUGAGUAACACGUGGGUAACCUGCCCGUAAGACCGGGAUAACUCCGGGAAACCGGAGCUAAUACCGGAUAACACCGAAGACCGCAUGGUCUUUGGUUGAAAGGCGGCUUCGGCUGCCACUUACGGAUGGGCCCGCGGCGCAUUAGCUAGUUGGUGAGGUAACGGCUCACCAAGGCGACGAUGCGUAGCCGGCCUGAGAGGGUGACCGGCCACACUGGGACUGAGACACGGCCCAGACUCCUACGGGAGGCAGCAGUAGGGAAUCUUCCGCAAUGGACGAAAGUCUGACGGAGCGACGCCGCGUGAGCGAAGAAGGUCUUCGGAUCGUAAAGCUCUGUUGUUAGGGAAGAAGAAGCGCCGUUCGAACAGGGCGGCGCGGUGACGGUACCUAACGAGAAAGCCCCGGCUAACUACGUG
rnacentral:rRNA from 1 species